GAAAAAAAACAAACAUUCUUCUUUCUCUCGAAAACAAAAACUCUUCGCCCUAGCCGUCAAGAAAAAAAAUUCUCUGAUGGCCGGCGAUGGCCGAAAAAAAAUUCUCUAUCCGAUCUCUUUCUCUCUUCAGCUCUACUAACCUUUCAGAAUCAGCCAUGGAUGAAGAGUACGAGGUUAUCGUUCUCGUCACCAGUCUCAAAGAGUGUAUCCUCAGUGGUUUCCUUUCCGUCGAUAGUGUCAAGCACUUUGUGCCUUUGUGGUAUAACGGGACUGAAAACAACAUAUGGUUGGACACAUAUGACAGGAUGAUACACAUGUGAAGUGUGUUUAAGGAUUGUGAUUAAAGAUAUAUAUUAUUCCGCUAGGACAGGUUCUUGUUUUUAAAGUUUCACGUUUUGGUUGUAGAUGAGCUCAGAACCAACUUCAACACUAGCAGAACAAAGAGCUACGACAUGGUGUUUAUGUUUAGUCUUUAGUAAUCAUAUUGUAAUAAGAAACGACAUGGUGUUAUGUUAUCUUCAGUGAAUUAUAUAGCCUUACUGUAUACCUCUAUUCUUUAUGUUUGGAUAAAUACAAAUUAAAACAACUUGGGAUAUUGUCUUGUUUUGAAAUUUAUGAAAUUAUUAUUUUGUUCUU